ensembl:lncRNA
AUCAGUUUGUUUUUGAUAAUGGGUUUAUUGUGUAGGGGUGUUAAUCACUUUUAAAUGUCGUCGUUUUAAAUUUCAUCGAAGACAGUCUGCAACUAUCUGACACAAUGGCGACUCCGACAACUCCUAAUAUCCCUAGAAGACUGUCCUGCAUCACACCUAUAAGGACUGAUGAGAAGUGUGAGGAGUUAACUUUUGCUCCAAGAAAAAAAAAAAUGUUAGUUUGUCAAAAAUUCUUCGUGAGAAUGACAUUGUAAAGGAGCUGAUGUUUAACCCUGAGCAGGGCAUUACUAACUCCGGAGAACCUCUCUUAAGACCGCCCUCACGCAGCAAUGAUUAAAACAGGGUGGCCUGUGUUACAGUGAACACAUAUUACAAAGAUGUCUGAAGAUUCUGCACGUGCAUGCUACAGCAACACCCCGGAGACAGCGCUGGCUCUGCCUGACAACGCAACACUAGAAUCCGGGCCGCAAACAUACGACAACAGGUGGCUAGAUAAUUUCUGCAAGGAAUUAGGAUAUCACAACCUAAGCUUUCUCUCAACUCCGUACGGAAUCAGCAGCUCUUUAACUGGCGCCUGUGCCUAUGUCAGUAUUGAUGACAGACGGCUGCAUUUGAUCUCACGCAUUCAAGAUUAUAAAAGUGACAGUCGUGGUCCUUCUGGAACAUUAUCAACAAAAAGCUGAAAGAACUCUGUCUGGGGUGCGAAGUGGAUCACCCAAGUCAGCUUAGACAGUCGUGUCUGUUCGAACCUGAUGCAUAUUUCUUUGACAAAUACUUUGAGGAACUAUCGCGUGAUCUGGUCAAACCCAGACUUAAACAUUUCAUCGCUCAAUCAUUGAGACAGUGUGGCUUGAGGGUUAACCCCCAGAGAAUUCAAGAAUCGGUGGAUGCCGUUCUGCACGAGCUGCGGGACGAAGUGUACAUCGUGCAAAGGCUUAACGAUGUCAGAGAGAAACUUGUGGAUGUCAGCAGCGAGCAGAUAGUCUACAACGCUGUGGACAGCUGGAAGGGGGUCACACCAGUCAUUUGAGAUGGGAAAUGCGUGCAGAGCUACAGGAUUAGCAAAGAGUCUGCUUAAGCGCCAUAUUAGGUGCGAGAUGUCCAGCCUAUUGUACAAAUGCCUUAUGGACUGUGCUGUAAACAGAUGUUGACCCGAGGCGUUUAACAAAUCUCGUGAAUCAGAUGUGUCUUGUGUGAGGUGGAGAAUAUUGCUAGGUUCCUGUAUUUCAUGGACCCCAGCAGCGGAUCCUGUUCACUAGCAUAAAUGUUAUCCAUAGUCUUUCAACAAGCUCUUGCAAGCUGGACUCAGCAAGCAGAUGCUCUAGAACCUUCUGAAAAGCAUUAAAAGGCCCCAGUCCAUCAAGUUAGACAACCUCUUCUCCUCAAUCACCCUGAACACCAGCAUGCCACAAGUCUGUGUGCUGAGCCUGCUUCUGUACUCCCUGUUCACCCAUGACUGUGCUACUGCUUAUGGCUUCAACUCCAAAAUCAAGUUCACAGAUGACACCACGGUGAUAGGCCUGAUCGAAGACAAUGAGACUGCCUAUAAGGAUGAGGUUCAGCACUUGCCCAGGUGGUGUGCAACAAAUAACUUGGAACUUCUCAAGAAGACGAAAGAUCAUUGUGGACUUCAGGCGGACUGGAAGCCAGGCCCCAUCAAUGGACCUGUGGUGGAGCGUGUGCCUGGUUUCAACUUCCUUCGCAUCCACAUCUCCCAUGAUCUCACCUGGUCCCUUAACACCUCCACCAUAGUCAAAAAGGCACAGCAGCACCUUUACUUUCUAAGGAACCUCAAGAAGGCACACCUGUGUCCUACGAUCCUGGUGGACUUCUAUUGCUGUACCAUUAUGAGCAUACUCACUAACUGCAUCUCAGUCUGGUAGAGCAACUGCUCUGCUUCUGACCGCAAAGCACUCCAGCAGGUAAUUAAAACUGCCCAACAAAUAACUGGCACCCAGCUACCCACCACUGAUGACAUCUACCACAAGCAUUACCUUGGCCAGGCAAAACACAUCAUUAAGGAUGCCUCCUACCCUAACAAUGGACUUUUCACCCUCCUCCCUGCUGGCAGGCGGUACAGAAGUCUACAUUCCUGCACAAGUAGGCUCAAGAAGAGCUUCUUCCCCCGAGGCUGUGACCCUGCUAAACUCAAACCCUCCACUCUAAAAUUCCACACCUUGUAUUAUACUGUACUGCUCAGUACUUUAUUGGACAGUUAUUAUUGGAUGGUUACUUGCACUAUUCAUAUUUGCAUUCUGAACCUCACUGUUUACCCAUGUUCUGUACAUAUCAUCCAAUUGUACAUAUGUUGAUGUUCAUACUGUACAUGCCUCUCAUUUGCAAUCCCUUUCUAUUUUAAUAUAUUCACUGCUAAUGAAAUGCAGUUAGAUGCUAACUGCAUUUCAUUAGCUCUGUACUUGUACUCUGCUUAAUGACUAAAGUUGAAUCUAAUCUAGUCUCAUGUAUCACCUAUCUAAUCAGGUAUCAUGUUAUGUGUCACAGUUGUGGCUUAGGCUCUGGGUUACUGAUCGGAAGGUCAGGGUUUCAAGCCCUAGCACUGCCAAGCUGCUAUGGUUGGGCCCUUGAGCAAGGCCCUUAACCCUCUCUGCUCCAGGGGCACUAUCAUGGCUGACCCUGUGCUCUGACCCCAACUUCCUAACAUGCCGGGCUAUGCGAAGAAAAGAAUUUCACUGUGCAUACGUAUGUGAUCAAUAAAGACUCAUGUGUCUAGUGUCAUGUAUCUAAUGUAUCAUGUGUUUAAUGUUUUUUUUUUUUUUUUUUUUUUUUUUUUCUGGAUACACUCAAUGUUGCAUCACUGUAUGCACAUUUACAGUACCUGCUUUUGUUGAUCUGUAAGCAGAUGGAUCAACUAAUAUUGCAUACAUGAUUAGAUACAUAUCAUAGCGUCUCUCAGUAUCUGUUUGGAGAUUAUAAAAUAUUCGUCCAUAAAGUUUUGCUUGCAUCCUUUUUCAAACUGUCUUUUUAAACCAGAAAAUCUAACGACAUCAGCCUUUAAACUUGAAUUUUAGUUUAGAUGAGAACAGGCCGUAGAGGGUUUUAAGAACUCUGACGGAAUUGGCUUCAUUGACCGACGGGUUUCAUCUUGAUGCUGGAAUGGUAGUUGUAGGCUUGAAUCUGAUCCUGGACUACGGUGUAUUUUCUCGUGUUAAAAAGGUAAAAUCUCCACCUCCUGGUCUUUAGCGUUCUGUACACACACACACACACACACACACAGUGAUCAAUGUCAUGUUUGGAAGUUUGUUUAAAAAAAAAAAAACCAUACACACAACCUCCUUCCCUUGGUCAGUUUGUAGUUUUUUGGGGAUUAUACCUUCCUUUAGAAUGCAAUCAAAAGGCUUUAGUUACCUCCAGUCUGGUCUCAUUUUGAACACACGUACCCAGACAUGUUUGGAUAAAAUCUCUAUACACGUGUUCAUAAGUUUUGCCUUGUCAUUAUUCUGACAGGUUGCUCAUAUUGACUAAAUCAGCUUGCCAUCGUUCACUGUUCUUUGUAGAUACUGGUUUAUGUAGACUGUAUGCAUCCUGCUCUGCUAGCUAGUUUUUCCAUCAUUAGCUCUUUUACCCAUUUUCUCAAUAGCUCUUUGCAAACUCAACGCCACCAUACGAACCAGGUUCUAAUGCCGUAUAAUAUAUUCAUCAAUCGUUCAUUUUCGAGCGUCAAUGCAAGAAUGAUCAAAUGCAAGUGUAGAUUAAGCAUUUUAUCGCAGAACAUGUGAGCACGGUAUUACAUAUUCAACCCGAGUAACAUUUAACUUUGUCAUUUAAGUCACAGGUUUAGACAUUAUUAGUUUUACAUUCAAACAGCAGGGCAAAACAUGAAAGAUAAAACUUGAUACAAGUGUGUAAAGGACAUAAAUUACUUACAAAAUGUCAUCAGCAUUUUUGUUCGUUUGGCUUCAGACUUUUCUUGCAGUCAGAAUAGACAUGGCAUGUUUUGAAGUUUCCCCAUGUAUGCAGCUGUUCAAUGGGUUCCAGAGAGGAGUGAAAGGUUCAGUAGUCCACAAUGUUUUCAUACACCUGUUUGUUGAAAAGGUCUUUGGUUUUCCCUUUGACCUGGUUCAGCACGGUUUUGAUGCAAGGCUCAUCUCGCCAUUCACACAUGAUGGCUUCAGCAAUACCUUGAAUUUUUUCCAGGGAUGGAGUGUGUUUGAUACGACACAGUUUCAGACCUCUUGUAUUUGAACCAUGGUUUAAACAGUUUUUCUAGCAAUCUGUAGGUGUUUAGAUGCAGACUUGUCAGGAUUGAACAAACAUGAGUGUUGGAGUUGACUCGGAUGAUCGAUCACGCACCUGGGGCAGUUGUCCUUCAGAUCUUGUGAUAGUUCUGUCCAACAGUUCUCCCAUAACCACACAUGAUUGCCAUCUUGGUGUUGGUUUUACGUCAGUCUCAUCGAUCGUUGUCAGAUAGGUCAGAUUACUUUUUACUAGGUUUUUGCCAUCUUAAAAACCCGAACUAGUCACCCCAUCAUCCAGGAUAGCAGCAAAGUUUUUUUUUUUUUUUUUUUU